UGUGAUGCUGUGUGGUUUCUGUCACGUACACACACACAGGCACACUCAUGCACACACCCCCUACCUCCCUGCCUACAUUCCACCCAGCCUGACUGCUCUGGAAGGAAGAAUCCCUGCAAGGUGAGUGUUAUUAUAUCCAUUUGUGGACCAGGACUGCGGCUCAGAAGCUUUUCCCAGGACACUGAACUCUGACAGGUGAAUAGCUGCCAAGUGGUGGAGGUUGGCCUGCAGUGAGCAUCAGUCUGACUUCGAAGGACAGAAUGACACAUGGUACAAGCUUUCUGUCUUACUGCCACACGUCAGUGUCCUGGGAGAUGAACCAGAUGCAGCUCCCUGAUGAAUGUGGGAAUAAAAAUUUAUAUCAGAAUCGACACUGGUUAUAAUGUGAAUUUAUGACAUUACUUGAGAAUAUUCAAUUCUGCUGUAGAGGACAAAAAAAAUGGAAUAAUGAAAUCCAUCAUAAACCCUGGGCAUAGUUGCCACCUCAGACCACCUCCUGACUCCAAGUUUCCCUGCUCAUCAAUCCAAAAUUUUGUUGAAUAUACUACUUCCCCACCCCCAAUGGAGCUUAAGGGUUAACCUGAACUCUCUAAACCAAUCAGGGCAUUCCUACUGUCUUUGAUCGUGAGUGUUGUAGGCAGAGACAUAUAACCCAAUCCUUGCUAAUGAGACUUGAGGUAGGACCCCAGCUUCCGGAGAGGUUGCCUGGCUCCUAAAAAGAGAAAGAUACCGGAAAAGAGAUGGACUCUUCUACCACUGGAAAUCAGAUGGUGUCCUGAGUGACAUAAGUGUACUUACAACAGCCAUUUUGCAACCAUAAAGAAGCCAGUGGGAAUACACAGGCUACGUGUCCUCGAAGGCACAGAAGAAAGAAGAGAGAAAACUAUAUUCUUGAUGACACAGUUGAGCUACAGAAUUGUCCAACCCCGGAGGUGCCCCACUUCGCGUUGUGGGAGAUAAUGCAUUUUCCUUGCUGUUUAAACCACUUUGAGCUGAGUUUUCUAUUACCAGCAGCCUAAAGCAUUUUGACAGAUAAAAGUAGAUACAAAUGCACAUAUAUAAUGAGCAUCCUGACUGAACGAUUAAAUGUGUAUGUAGGCAUGCAUUACCUCCCCACUCCAUUUAUGAUUGUCACAUUUAUUUUUACUUCAGGGAAAAGCAACUAUAGAAUUUAAAAAAUCAGGAUUGAAAACAAAUACCUGAAUUUCCUACAAUUAAAAAAUCAAUCCAUUAAGUAGUGGUAUUAUGCUAAAAUAAAAUGAAUGCUUAGAAAUUUGUUAAGUGUUUAUGAUGUAAUAAGACAUCAAAUAAACCAUUUUUCUUUAAGUUCUUUAAUAAAAAAAAUCUGAUGUGGAGUCCAGUCUUUCAUUUUUAUCACUGGAAUAAAUAGAGAAUAGUCAUUGCAAUCAAUUGCCUGUUUGUUUCCCCAGAG
rnacentral:lncRNA from 1 species